rnacentral:hammerhead_ribozyme from 1 species
AUUCAGCUGACGAGUUCAAAACAGGACGAAAUGCGUGUCCUGGAU